AUUGAACGCUGGCGGCAUGCCUUACACAUGCAAGUCGAACGGCAGCACGGGUGCUUGCACCUGGUGGCGAGUGGCGAACGGGUGAGUAAUACAUCGGAACAUGUCCUGUAGUGGGGGAUAGCCCUGCGAAAGCCGGAUUAAUACCGCAUACGAUCUACGGAUGACAGCGUGGGACCUUCGGGCUUCGCGCUGUUGGGUUUGCCGAUGCCGGAUUAGCUCGUUGGGGGGGUAAAGGCCUACCAAGGCGACGAUCGGUAUCUGGUGUGAGAGGACGAGCGGCGACACUGGGACUGGGACACGGACCAGACUCCUACGGGAGGCCGCAGUGGGGAAUGUUGGACAAUGGGCGAAAGCAUGAUCCAGCAAGGCGGCGUGUGUGAAGAAGGCCUUCGGGUUGUAAAGCACUUUUGUCCGGAAAGAAAUGCUUGGCCCUAAUACGGUCGGGGGAUGACGGUACCGGAAGAAUAAGCACCGGCUAACUACGUG
rnacentral:rRNA from 1 species